rnacentral:rRNA from 1 species
UAAGGAGGGGGAUAAUCCCGGGAAACUGGGGCUAAUCCCUUAUAGACCUGGGGCACUGGAAGGUCCCUAGGUUGAAACGGGUGAGUUGGCAUGCCGGUUCACCUGCUUUAGGAUGGGGCUGCGUCCGAUCAGGUAGUUGGUGGGGUAAUGGCCCACCAAGCCUAUGACCGGUGCGGGCUCUGAGAGGAGGAGCCCGGAGAUGGACCCUGAGACAAGGGUCCAGGCCCUACGGGGCGCAGCAGGCGCGAAACCUUCGCAAUGCCCGAAAGGGUGACGAGGCUACCCCGAGUGUCGUCCGCUAAGGACGGCUCUUGUCGGGUCUAAAAAGCCCGACGAAUAAGGGGAGGGCAAGUCUGGUGUCAGCCGCCGCGGUAAUACCAGCUCCCCGACUGGUCGGGACGAUUAUUGGGUCUAAAGCGUCCGUAGCCGGCCCUGUAUGUGAUCCGUUAAAUCCAGCGGCUCAACCGCUGGGCUGCGGAUCAUACUAUGGGGCUAGGGGACGGGAGAGGCCGGAGGUACUCCGCGGGUAGGGGUAAAAUCCGCUGAUCCGCGGAAGACCAACAGUGGCGAAGGCGUCCGGCCAGAACGCGCCCGACGGUGAGGGACGAAAGCCAGGGGAGCGAACCGGAUUAGAUACCCGGGUAGUCCUGGCCGUAAACGAUGCCCGCUAGGUCUUGGUGAAGCUUAGGGUUUCAUCAGGGCCGCAGGGAAGCCGUUACGCGGGCCACCUGGGGAGUACGGCCGCAAGGCUGAAACUUAAAGGAAUUGGCGGGGGAGCACCACAAGGGGUGAAGCCUGCGGUUUAAUUGGAGUCAACGCCGGGAACCUUACCAGGGGUGACGGCAGAGUGAAGGUCAGGCUAAAGACCUUACCUGACAAGCCGAGAGGAGGUGCAUGGCCGUCGCCAGCUCGUGCUGUGAAGUGUCCUGUUAAGUCAGGCAACGAGCGAGACCCUCGCUGCCGGUUGCUUCUAUGUUCCGAAAGGUACAUAGAGGAAACUGGUGGGACCGCCGCCGAUAAGGCGGAGGAAGGAGGGGGCUACGGCAGGUCAGUAUGCCCCGAAA